CAGCCGCCGCGGUAAUACGAAGGGUGCAAGCGUUAAUCGGAAUUACUGGGCGUAAAGCGUGCGUAGGCGGUUUGUUAAGUCUGCUGUGAAAUCCCCGGGCUCAACCUGGGAAUGGCAGUGGAUACUGGCAAGCUAGAGUGUGUCAGAGGAUGGUGGAAUUCCCGGUGUAGCGGUGAAAUGCGUAGAGAUCGGGAGGAACAUCAGUGGCGAAGGCGGCCAUCUGGGACAACACUGACGCUGAAGCACGAAAGCGUGGGGAGCAAACAGGAUUAGAUACCCCGGUAGUCCCUGUCUCUUAUAC
rnacentral:rRNA from 1 species